AUUCACCGAAUCAUCUUUCUCCCUUUUGCUUCCCUCCACCCUCUCGAGCGUUCCAAAGGUGGUGGGGGCGCCUCGGGUUUCAAUCGAUUUGAUCACGUGAGGGAGACGUUUAUCGAGAUGGCGAUAAAGUCUCGGCCAAUCCGCCCUCAUCAAAUGACCUGAACUCCGCAGGCGGAUUUAUGACUGGCGAGAGAGAGAGAGAGAUCGGGUGAGGAAAUCAGGAGGUGGGCCGGCCUCGGGCACGGACGACGCCUGGCGGGAGCCACCACCACCGGGGGAAGUCCCACGUGCUGGUGCUGGUAGGGCUCUGCAUCACGUGGCCGGAGAUGACGGAGAUUCUUACCAUGUAUCUAUUGUCCCACGUGCUGGUAGGCUCAUAGGACAGACACAUAGUGUACUCGUUUCCCUCCCUCCCUCUCUCUCUCUCUCUCUCUCUCAAUUUCUUCCUCAGUGUGGGUGGGUGGAGCCUGUCAAAUCCUUAUCCGCUCUCUCUCCUUUGUCUCCCCCCUUCUCCGCCUUUUUUCAUGUAAUAAAAAGCCAGAGACUUCCGUUAACUUGCGAAGAUGCCAUGGCUCCUCCUCCUCCUCCUCCUCCUCCUCUCUGUCUGAAGAAAACAUGAAAGAGAGGAGCCCAGAGAGAGUGAGUUCCGAAGCAAAAGAUUUCGUCAAGGUGUAGCCUUUAUCUGCAUUUGCACCUGCACCUUAGAUCGCGCUCGGUUCUUUCCUGCGUACGUCUCUCUGCCGAGAUUUGCCAGAGCCAUAUCUCGAGGGACUAAGAAAAGGGUUGUUCGAAGAGAAGGAAAAAAAAGUUGCCCCUAAACGUGUUUCGAAUUGAUAUUUCCCUGAAACCCGGAAAGCUAGGAAGAAAAAAACUGCAGAUGAAGAAGCAGGGCGCUUGAAAGGUGCAGGUGCAGGUGCAGAUGAAUGCCAUUUUGAUUCUUGGUGAUUAGCGUCCGUGAUGGUCAGAUCUCACAGGGAUCAUGGUAAUAUUCUCUUCUUUUCUUUUCUUUAGUGGGUUUCUUGAGGCCCCUAUAUGGUAAAUUUAAUCUAUUAUCUUCACAAGACAUGGAGAUCUCUUGGGGGGUUUCCUUGGGCUUUUUAGCUCCUUCUUGUUUAGAGAUUCGGGAGAUUUCAAACGGCAGUGAAGUGCGGAUCAAGCAAAUCACAGAGAACUCUAGAUAUUCAGUAGAUUGCAUCUCUUAAUAUCAGGUGGGAACAUGGGGCAAGAACUCGUGAGCGGGUGCUGUCCUUGGCUUUCUCUAAGCUGGAUCUAGGGUUUCCCCAAUGCUCGAGUACUUUUGCCUCGUUAUAUUCUCUGAGGUCAUUCAUUAAUUCCAGGGAUUCGAAUGAACAAAUGAACCUUGAUUUACAAACUACUUGGCCAGAUCGUCGCCUUCCGACAGCUAUCAUAUGUUAUGUUUCAUAUGGAUAGCUUUCGUCGUGCUUUAGCUCAUAGCACAACCAACUAGCCGUAAUGGUUGUUUUUUUUUUUAAUCCAAUUUGACUUGUUGCAUUUACAUAUUGUGCAUAUAUCUGGGCGCUUAUUGAUGAAAAGUAUGAUCAAAUUAUAUGCAAGAGAUAUGAGAACAAUUGAGUUCCCACUGUUUUAAUCGAAAAGGGAGGUGCUACAAUUUUAGAAAGUACAAAGUAAAUAUUUCAACGGACGUAGUAUCUCUAAAGUUGUAGCACAAUUUAGAAAACUACCUCAUCCAAUUUUAUGAUGCUAUAGUUUUAAGACAUGUGUUAUCAGACAUAUAGUCACAACAUAAUUAUAAUACAAUACAAUGACAGGGCAGUCACAACUAUACUAGAUAGUCUCUUUAUGUUAAGUUUACUCUGUUCCGGUAUCAUAGUUUUAAGUUCAUUUUAAAAUAUAAGUUGACAAGAAGUGUUAUCACAUAUAUUAUGUAUGUGAUAAAUGUAAGAUAUGAAGUACAAACCGUGCCGUUUUGUGAAUAUCGUGAUUUGUUGGAUUUCUUUGAAGGGGUAUAAGAAAAACAAAGGCAAAGGUCGAUUUUGUCAUGAUAUCCCCCCGUUUCAUGGCCUAAUUUACUCCUCCUUUAUCUUUCUUUAUCAUAUUUGAUUUCCGACUGUUCUUCACUGACACAUCACCGGUUUAAAAGCUUUGUCCUGUCAUGUCCAUCAGCGGCCUUAAAUAUAAAGCACAAAUAACGUCAUUUUCUAAAGCUUUUUUUUUUUUUUAGGGGGGUGGGGGUCUUGACAUUUUCUAAAGCUGUUAGCUUAAGAUUUGAGUGAAAAGAUUUAUGGUAUUAUCUAUCCACUUGCUUUUUCCUUCUCCUUUUUGGCAAGAGUAUACAGAUAGAGGAGGCGCUCGUACGAAGGCGGAUCUUCGCCAUUUGUGAAGGUAUUGACAAAAAUGGAGUAGAAUGAUGAUCGGGCAUUGCUGCUUUUUUAUGCAAUGGUACAUGGCGAUAUAUAUUGUUUGCUGUACUAUGUUAGGCGUUCCAAGAACUGUAUUAAUUCUUAUGUCUUAUUCAUAUAAUUAAGCUACUAUUAACUUAGAGAUCUCAGAUGCAAUAAUAUAAGCAGUCAGAAAUACUGAAUCAUUUUUUUUAAGCGAUCUUUAUAAGAUCAUGGUUGAAAACUUCAUCACGAUAGACAUGGGUUCUUAUAACUUAAUUCUUCAAUGGAAGGAAGUAGAUGAUUCUGCUAAGUAUUUGCAUUUUCAUUUUCUGUGGUUGUUCAUUGUCUAAAUAUUGAUGUUUCGUGACAAUUUUUUUUAAAAUUUAUUAGUUUUCUGUCUAGAUGUUCAACUGAUUCUUUGGGCAUCAAAUUUUAUGGCUUUCGUAUGAUUUUUUGGUCUUUACUCUCCAUUUCUGUCCAUUUGGAUUCCAAUUCUAUUGACUGAAGCAUAGCAUGAUUACACAAAUGACGCAAACAAAUUAUAAAAAUUAUAGAAAAGCACAACCUUCUUAUGGUCUGAAGCAUUUAAACUUUUGUAUCAAACCGAGACUCAUCAGAUGUCCCGUCCAGUAGUUGAAAUGUUGAUUGAUUUCAGUAUCUGAGCAGACCGGAAAAUAAGCAGCGAAUGACAAGAUCUUGAUUUUGACUCGUUUGCUUUGUCAUGAUCAAUUGAAUGUUGAUAACUACACGGUUAAACACUCAACUUUGGCUUUGUCAUGAUCACCUAGUGUGCUAAUUGAUUGGUUCGAAUGAACAAAUGAUCCUCAAUUUGCAAACUACUUGGCCAAUUUGUUGCCUUUCUACCGCUAUCAUAUGUUAUGUUUCGUAUGGAUAGCUUUUGUUGUGCUUCAGCUCAUAGUGCAGCUAACUAGUCGUAAUGGUUAUUUAUUAUCCUAUUUGACAUGAUGCAUUUACAUAUUUUUCACAUGUUCGGGCUCUUAUUGAUGAAAACGAUGAUGGUAGUAUAUUCAUGAGAUAGGAGAGCAAUUGAGUUCCCACAGCUGUCUUAAUUGAAAAGGGGAAAGCCACAGCUUUAAAAAGUAUAUGGUAAACGCUUCAACAGCUAUAGCAUGGUCUAGGAAGCUGCCUCACCCAAUUUUAAGAUGCUAUGUUUUUAAGACAUGUAUUACUAAACAUCCAAUCACAGAGCAGCAAUGAAUGGUACCACGGUGCAGCCCCAACUGUACUAGAUAGUCUCUUCAUGUUAAAUGCACCCUGUCCGAUAUCAUGUUAUAGAGUACAUUUUUAAGUUCAUUUCAAAGUAUAAGUUGACGAGGAGGGUUAUUAUCUAUGUUAUACAUGUGGUGAUAAAUGAUAAGAGAUGAAGUACAAAACACGUUGAUUUCUUAGUUUUUUGACCUUUCGGAUUUCUUUGAAAGGGUACAAGAGAAACAAAGGAAAAGGCUGAUUUUAUGAAAUGGCUGUUUUCAUCGUAAUAUCCUGUUUUGUGGCCUAUUUUACUCCUUUAUCCUCCCUUAUCGUAAUGGAUUUCAACUUUUCUUCACUAACACAUCACCGGAUUACAAGUUUUUAAGUCCUGUCAUGUCCAUCAGCGGCUUUAGAUAUAAAGUACAAAUAACGUCUUUUUAUAAAGCUUUUUCUUUUGGUCUGACAUUUUCUAAAGCUUCAUAGCUGAAGAUUCGAGUGGAAAUCUUUAUGCUAUUGUCUAUCCACUUGCUUUUCCCUGCUCAUUUUGGGCAGGGUAUACAGGUAGAGGCAGCACUCGUGUCGAAGACAGACCUUGGCCAUUUGUGAAGGUAAGUUCAUCCGCAAGAUUUUCUUCAUUAAUUAUGCGAAUUUUAGAAGGUCUUUGUACAUUAUAACUUGGGGAGAUCAGUCCCAAAGGAUUCAUUCUCUUCUUGAGACUAGAAUAAUUGUAAUGCUAUUCACAGAAUGAGUUCUAUCAAGAGAUCACAAGCUCUUUUAGGUGUUCAGAUAUAUCCAAUCCCUUAUUUGAAUUUCCACUCAAAAUCUAUGCUAAAUGGUUUUAUAGAAUUUUGUAAAUGAAUCUAUAUUCUGAAAUGUCAAGCAACUAAAUAGUUUGGAACAAUACACAUCGACAUGGUUGGAACGUUGGACAGGGUGGAUAGCAACAAAGUUGGUAUUGACAUAAUUUGCAUUGAGUCGGAUGUUGAUGGCACCUUGCUGUCUUUUUUGCAAUCGUACGUGGCUAUUUUAAUUGUUUGGUGUGCUUAAGUUGUGUUCUAAGAACUAUCCACUUCUUAUGUCUUGCUGUCAAAUAAUUAAAGCUACUAUUAAUUUACAGAUAGCAGACACAAUGAAAUAAACGGUCAGUAAUAGGCAUAAGCAAUCAGCGAUACCGUAUCAGAUUUCUUAUUAGAUCUUUUAUAAGAUCACAGUUGAAAGCUUUAUUGUGAUAGACAUGGAUUCUUAUAACUUAAUUCUUCAAUCAAGAGAAAAGAUGAUUCUGGUAAUUAUUUGCAUUUCAAAUUCUGUGCUUGUACUUUGUGUAUAUAUCGGUUUAUCAUGACAUAAUCUUUCAGAUUUAAAACUACCCUCUCUAGAUGUUCAACUGAAUCUUGAGGCUUCAAACUUUAUGGCUUUUAUACGAUUUUGGUCUUCGGUCUCCAAUUCUGUCCUUCUGGCUUCCAAUUCUAACAGCUGAAGCAUAGUAUGAUUACACAAAUGGCGCAAACAAAUUACAAAAAGUAUAAAAAGUCACAACCUUCUUAUAAUCUGCAGCAUUUUCACUUUUGUAUCGAUCUGGGACUGAUUAGGGUGUCCCGUCCAGUAGUGCAGAUGUUGAUCAAUUUCAGUAUAUGAGCAGACCAGAAAAUAAGAAGCAAAUAACAAGAUCUUGAAUUUGGCUUGUUUGGCUUUGUCAUGAUCAAUUAGAGUAUUAAUACCAACACGAUUAAACACUUAAUGUAAGCUUGAGUGUUUCGAUGCUUUUCCAGAAAGUUUUUGCGGGCUUGAGUGUUUUGAUGCUUCUCCAGAAAGUUUUUGCGGGACUCUUAUCCCAGAUCAAAAGGUUGUCCAGUUAUCUGAUUUUGGUAGCACUUAACCUCUAAGUGAAGGGUUUUAAACAAUGAUAAUAAUGGAAUCUGGCUUUAAUUCACCCUUUCUUUUUGCAUUUGAACGCUCAUCUUUUAAUUUCAUAUAUGAUUUUGCUCAGAGGCAGGAAAAUCAUAUCCAAAAGAAUCGUUGCUGGUUGUUCCACAAUCUCUAUGUCCUUUAAUGUUAAGCAUAUAAUAGAGAAUUGUAAGUUUCAAGUGCAGGAAGCCGAAUUUCAAUUGGAACAGGGACCCUCAUUUAUUUUUAUUGCCUUCUCACUAUCACUGUAGCAUGCGUCCACAUUUUUUGCUCCUAUUGAAUCUGUCUUGAUCUGACUUAAAGUAAACAUCGAGCAUGCUCGGUUGCUACUUGUUGGGUUCUAUUGUACGAGAUUUCAAUUCCGUCUAAAUGUUUUUAGUGCUGAUCGGAGGAAAAAGUAAUCUGGUCAAUGUCGUUGAUGCAACAAGUAUUCGAAAGAAAUAUGUUCAAUGUCCUCAGAGUCUGACUAGUAACUUCUUAUAGCGUUUGAGCGGGAACUUAUAUCUAUGUACCCGAUUUUAGCAAAAUUAGGACUAGGACAUCAUCUGGGCCAUCAAGUUUUACAAUCUCAGCGCAAUGGUUAGUCACAGGCAAUCACAGGCAAGACGUUCGAGGGUAAGUCCCUGCAGUCGAGGGCGUACAAUUGUUCUACUAAAGCAAAACCGAGGUAGCUUCGAAUCUUGCUGAUCUUUAAGGAUGCAUGUCACAGGACAGAGUCAUUGGCCGUACAACAGGCACCGCAUGUUUGCCCACGAUGGUCAAUUAUAUACAAAAUAUGCUGUUACUUCUGCAAGUCCAUAUCCUGCCCUUGGAUUUGAAUAUGAGCUUGAUUCUUAAGAAUGGCCUUCUUGGGCAUGAUUUCCAGGGCUUGUUCUUGAUGUCCAAAUUCUACUGACUAGUUCAUGUACCUUCUGUUUCAUUAUCUUCUGAGUUUAAUGUUGAUAUGCUUGUUCUCUCACACACAAUGCUUGUGCACCGAAGCAAAAAAGGAGAGGUUGAUUAAUCAUGUAAUGACCCCUACAGAUACAUUAUGUUUCAUCAUUCUCUUUUUCCUAGCAUCUGCAGAUUUUGGUGGAUGUCAGGCAUAGAGCAGCUACAUGCUUCUUGACGCCAUACCACGGAAUGGGUCCGCUAUAAUGGAUCGCAAUGCAGCGAUUUACUUUCCUUAUUGCUGCAGUUUGGAAAAAGAGCAAGAUAAAUCUUCAUUUCGCAUAUAUGUAACAUUUCUUGGGGAAUCAUUAGAGAGAUUCGGGAUAAGGGAAAGAAUCUACUUAAGAUUAAUGUUAGAGAAGUGAAGAUUUUGGAUUGGGGCAUAAGAAAUAUUCCGGAGCAGCACAAUUGAUAUUUUGCGCUGGGAAAAUAUUUGCCCUUUUUUUCCUGGCCAUCUAGCGUUUGUUUUCUAAUUCGACAUCGGACACUUUGCAAAGGCAAAUUUGCCUUCCGCUAAAGAAAUGAAAGGUACGAGAAAGGCGACAGGUGCAACUACCUUUCUUGUGGUUACUACAA